rnacentral:sRNA from 1 species
GUAUGUCCUUAACCUUGGCACAACAAAUCUCUAAAUCGAUUGAGACCUGUCUCAGAUACUUUUUGGUUUAUAAGAUGGGGGCUGAAAUUAAAGAGAAAGCUCCUCACUCAGCUCACAAAGGAGCAGAAUGGGAAGAGGACUUAGUGAGAAUUCCCUGAACACAGGAGAAAACCGAAGCCCAGAGAGUGGAUGGCCAAGUCCAAGGCCACAUAGCCAAGUGCAUCUGAGCAGCGCAGGAUCCAGGUUUCCUGCCCCAGUGCUGUUUCUGCAGCCCGUGCCACCUGUUUUCAUACUAUCUCGGUUCACCAUCCAGCUACACACCUGCAAUCAGAAACAGAAAGUCUGAGAGUGUGUGUGGAGCCAAAGAGGGGACAGCAGUGGUGCGGCCAGUUUCAUGUCUUGUGAUUUAUUUUCUCCCUUUCUUUUUGGACUUUAAUCUUAAGUGGACAGCAGUUUGGAACAGUGCCAGCACCUUGUUGGAUUGUGCUGUUUGGGAGAGGUGACACAGAGUAUUUUAAAAGAGCAGGUUAAGAACUUUUCAUAAAGAAUCAAUUGAGAAAAAAUAAAAUAGAAACAGAAUGUCCCACAUUUGGGCUGAGCACCAAACAAAUUUUUUUUUUUUUUUUUUGAGACUGAGUCUUGCUGUGUCACUCAGGCUGGAAUGCAGUGGUGCGAUCUCGGCUCACUGCAGCCUUCGCCUCCCAGGUUCAAGUGAUUCUUCUGCCUCAGCCUCCCAAGUAGCUGGGAUUACAGGUGCCCACCACCACGCCAGGCUAAUUUUUGUAUUUUUAGUAGAGACGGGGUUUCACCAUGUUGACCAGGCUGGUCUUGAACUCCUGACCAAGUGAUCCACCUGCUUCGGCCACCCAAAGUGCUGGGAUUAUAGGCAUGAGCCACCGCACCUGGCCUCAAACAAGCUUUUUAAUUGCAUUCAGAAGUGCACCAACUAGGCACAGACCUCUGGCAUGGAAACAGAAUGGGAGGUUCUUGGUGUCUGGCCUGGUCUUGCAGAAAUCAGGGAGUUGCCGGGACCAGGCAGCCACUGUGCAUCAGAUAGGAGUUUCAGCAGCAGGCAACAGAAAGCCUGCCAAUGUAGCUGAAAUAAGAAGGGCUUAUUUUUAUCCCUGAACAGAAGCUUCCAGCACUGGUUCAUCAGGUCAGGGCACUGAGCUGGCAUCCCCAUUUAUACAGUUUUCCUUUCCUUCACCUUUGUAAGAUGCCUGGCACAGCUCUGAGCAUCAAAUAUCUGUGCCAUGUGGGAGCACACGAGGGGACAAGUGGGGAAUAGGGUCUCCUCCGUCCUCUGUCCCCAGGCUGGCUUCUCUCAUGGUAGAAGGACCCCCACAGCACCAGGCCUCAUAACUACCCUGCUGGUAAACUGCAGGUGCUGUCAAGGCUUCCUGCCUUCGUAUAUGAAAUGUUCCUUGACAGCUGGACUGCUGUUUACCGCACGCACCGCUCUGCUGCCUCUUGGUUGCACCAGUGAGCUAUUGCUCCAUGACAAACCACACCGAAAUGUAGCAAGUACUUAUUGUUGCCCACAUGUCUCAAGUCAGUUGAGUGUUUCUGCCAAUCGGGGCCUGGCUUGGCCCACCUUGGCUGAGCUUGCUCUGGUGCUAGGGUCAGCUAGACAGGUUGGCAGGAGACCAGCUGCUCUAGAAGAGCCUGGACAGGAUGAAUUGGUUCUCCUUCCACGUGCAUCUUGCAUCCCUCCAGCUAAGUAUUUGAACCCAGGUCUCAUCUGACUCCAAACGCACCAAGAAGAUGGAGCCUAGAGUGACACAGAGGAAGAGGCCCCUGGAUGGAUGCAUGGGGAAGAGAGACAACAGAUUUACAUCCCAGACACAUUCACACUGGGCAAAGAGCAGCUGCCAUUGCAGAUUUGAGUCACGUCCUUUUUUCCCUCCUUCUCCUUCUUGGAGUUACAGCAGAAGCUGGGGAGGUGAGAGUGCAGAAAGGACAUGGAUGAAGCAGAGAGGCAUGUGCCUGUCUCAUUCGCCUCUGGAUCUGCUGCAUCCAGGACCAUGUCAGCACAAAGUGGGAGCCCGAUAAAUAUUUAUUGAAGAAAUGAAAGGUGACAAAAGGCAGAAGGAGGGAGACCCCCAAAAGAGUAUGAACCCAGCAUCACGGUGCACUUGUGGCAGUUGGCAGUGCACACCCGGGAGCCACUCUCCUCUGGCCAGAUGCCCUUCUCCCAGCUGCCCGCCGUGUGGCAGCUCUACCCUGGGAAGAAGUACCGAGCAGCGGAUUCCAGUUUCUGGGAAAUAGCAGACCAUGGCCAGAUCGACUCCAUGGAGCAGCUGGUCCUAACAUAUCAGCCAGAGAGGAAAGACUGACAUUGGGAGUGGCUGGCCCUGCUGGCCCUGCCUCUUCUGGCCUGGUGUCUCCUCAUGCCCCCUCAGUGAGGAUCUUCAUGUACCUGCUCUUCUGUUUGCACACCCAGCAUAGCCUCCUUGCGGGCAGAAGGCAGUGGAGCCCCUGCACGCUCAGCUUCUCUCAUUUUCCUUAGUUAUCAGUCCUGUCCUGUCCCGCUCGGAUCUGCACUUAGGGCAACUGGCCUGGAUGGGCUUCACUAGGGGCCCUGUCUGUGCACUGAGCCAGUUUCCUCUGCUGGCUGCAAGCUGUGGGUUCUCUUUCUCCUCUGUGCCCCUCAUGCUGAUCUUCUAGAUGCCACUCCCAAAUCCCCUUCAUACCCACCAGGAUGUGUGCCCAGCCAGGCCUCCAGCACCCCCAGUACAGCUCAUGAUUGGAAACUCACCAUCAGCAGGCAGUGGCUCGGUUUAAGAGAUGGCCGCAGAGGGAGCCCAGUCUGGAUGUGGACUUGGAUGCCCUGUGGGUAUCAGUUCCGCUGACACUUUGGCCCGAAAUAGAUCCAGUGCUGAGCAAGCAAUGUACGCCGGAGCCUCAGUGAGCCCAUCUGCACAGUGGGGAGCAUGGAGGGAUGGGUUUGGCCUGUGCUUCUGCUUGUUCAGUCCUUCAGCUCAUGGAAGGGAUGCUAGUCCAUGAAGCUGACCUCACAGUACUGGUUAAUUAAACUUUAUUGCUCACUGUC